rnacentral:misc_RNA from 1 species
UUCAUUGGUAGAAAGCAUGAGGUUGGAAUUAAAGUGGGAGGAAUCGCAAUUAGAUGGAGUAAUUGAGAAAUAGCGAGGUACUGUGAGUAAAGAAAGCGGAAUAGAGAGACAGAAAGAAGAAAACUGGCUCUAGUUGUUGGCAGAGGAGGAGUGUCAUCAUGGCAGCGCUGGAGCAAUGGUGUUUAUAUUCCAAAAUGCUGCAACAGUUAGCUUAUACUUUAGCAUCCAUGAAGCCAACUCCAUGGGAAAAGGUUAACAAGAUUAUGAAAUUAUGUCCAGUGGAAAGUAACCAUGGAACACUUAAAUUGGAUAGCCGGUCGCAGGAUGUUAUCAUUGCUUUGGGUAUAUAUCUAUUAGAGUCUGGACUUCAGUACAAAGAAAAAAUCCUACCAUAUUUGCUGAAUGUAUUAAGAGACCUCCCUAAAGUUCAGUGGAUUGAUGGACCCAAAGGAACACAAAAACACAGACAGAUAAAAUAUGAAAGUGGUGUUAAAAAAUCAGGCUUUUAUAAAUCUGAGAACCAAGUGAAAUUAUCAGAACUUCCGAUGGGAGAAUGCUUCAGUUUCUGUCUCAAUACAAUUCUGAGUGAUGUGGCCUAUCGUGAUUCAGAGCUCAGGGAGCAGAUUUUGUCAGCACAGUUGGAUACAAUGGUUGUUCUCACAACACUUUGCCAAGGGACACAUGACAUACCUAAAGAAACUUUAUGCACAUCUAUUGUACCAGCUCUAAUUGGAAUGGCUCGAGCCAUUGGCCGUUCUUCUGAUGAUGAAAUACCUCUCAUAAAGCUGCUGUUUCCUUUACCAAGUUCCUGUGUUAUGGAAGAGGUGUUGAGCGAUGACAAAAGCCCUCCAAAGAAACCAUUCACCAAAUUCCGAUCGAUAUUCCCACGCACGUUAUCUUCCCAUGUAAUCACACCAGAAAGUCCUACAAGUCCCACACCAGGCAUCAACGAUGGCCCCAUUGAUUUCAGACGUGAACGAUCUCCCUCCCCUAUGGCACCAACACAACAUAAAGGAGGUCUGACGGAUGAAUUGCUUGACCCUACAAUCCGUUAUUUCAAUAAAGUCGGAUCUAGUUUCACACGAACCAAACCCUGGGGUUUUGAAAUCAUUCCUGAAGAAGAUCACUUAAAAUUUUCUAGUUCUCAACUCCAGACACUUGUUAGUGUGGCCAAACGUUUGCUGAGUAAGGACAUUCUGAAAAAUCUAGAUAGCAUGGCCGCUGAAGUAUAUACAUAUGGUCAUCUGAUGCGAUUUCCAUACAAAUCUUUUAGUGAGACAGUUACCUUGGUAGUGGUUACUUUGCUCAGAGAUGUCUUGGAACAAGAAAAAGAUCUGCCAGCAUCUUUUAUGAAGGAAGUGCAAGAUUUUGUAAAAUCCUUAUAUUUAUCCGGACAAACUGAACUCCAAAGCAAAUAUCAACGAAGUGCUUCCGACAUUCGCCAGUUACAUUUUGAUCCGUAUGAAUUGAUGGUGUGUAGUAAUGCUGCCUGUGUUGAUUUGUUGUUCUGGGCCGUCAGGGAUGACUCUGAAGCUGAGAAUCUAUGUCUACGAUUGACCGAAAAGAUCAACUCCAUAACAGACAAAAAGUUACUUCUGAUGCAUAUGCCGUUACAAAUGGUAUCUCUAGAGGCUCUUGGUAAAUUAGCCACCAAAUUUCCUUGUCUUGCGAGUACCAUGUUAGCAUCUUUGCGGGAAUACCUCGUUAUACCUUCCCCUGUGCUCAGCAAACUCAACAAAUAUGCAACACAAGAGGCCAACAUAAAAAUCACAGUCACUGAUGAAAAUCGCAUUUUAAACAAACGGACCAGCAAUCACCCCAAAAAUAAAUUAAUGGCUACUUUAGAAAACCUUCGAGACACAGCAGUAACGAAUGUAUGCAGGUGUUUGAAAGCUGGUUUACAGGUUGACCAAGAUAUUGUACAAGCGUUUCUUGCCUCUGUCUCGAAUCGAUUAUAUCGUACAGAGACCAGUGAUAGAGAAUCUGCUCUGAUCUCAACAAAUACAAUUCUAACACUUGGUCAUGUUGCUGUGGCGCUAAAAGAUACACCGAAGACUGUAGAAUCUGUAUUGCAAAUAUUCCAGCAACGAUUCUGUUCCCCCCAAUCUCAUCUUGAUGAGUUGAUCAUUGAUCAGCUAGGAUGUAUGAUAAUGGCUGGAUGUUCCAGCAUAUCAGGAGAAGUGAUGAAGAUGUUUUCUCAGAUCAGCAUUGAAAGCAGUUCAGCCUAUGGACGCUAUGACAACGAAGAUAAAGUCAAUGCAUACAGACAUGUUUCCCUGUCAGUAAUAAAUGCUUUUGCAAACAUCUCAGCUAAUAUACAAACUGAGAAUGAACAAAUUGAGUUACUGAUUCGGUUAUUGGAACUGUUUGUGCAAAUGGGGCUGGAAGGCAAACGGGCGAGUGAGCGUGCUCAAGGAGCAAUGAAGGCAUCAAGCAGUGCUGGAAAUCUUGGUUUACUCAUACCAGUAAUUGCUGUGCUCGUUCGGCGUUUGCCUCCAAUUCGGGAUCCCAAACAACGUUUAAACAAACUAUUCAGGGAUUUCUGGCUUUAUUGUGUAAUUAUGGGAUUUGCCGUAGAAGAUUCAGGUAUUUGGCCCCAUGAUUGGUUUGAAGGCGUCUGUGAAAUUGCUGUAAAAUCUCCUUUACUGCUUUCGAGAGAACACCUACGUUCAGAGUUGCGCUACAAUACAGCACUUAAAAAUGAUGGAGUUGCACCAGCCGAAGUGAAUGAACUACGAUUAAGUAUUUGCAAUUUGCUCAAUCAAAGCACAGAAGUGACAGCUAUUAUAAACCGACUCAACUUCGCACAGUGCGCUUAUCUCCUUUCAGUGUUUCGCUUGGAGACACUCAGGGUAACUUAUUCCACUGAUCCAUUAUCAUUCCAAGGGUUAUUCCAUUACUUAGAAGACAAUACAAUCAUCAAAGAUAAAGCCAAUAUGUGGCAAUGUCUUGCUGCAGUUUCCGAUAAAGUCUUCAGCAAGUUCUUAGAAGUCAUGGCUGAAAAGCCAAAAACAGACGAAAGAGAGAGAGAAUUGGAAAGGCAUGCCCAGUUUUUGUUGGUGAAGUUCAACCAUGUCCAUAAGAAUAUUCGGUGUGUAGCUGACAAAUACCUGUCAGGUCUAGUCGACAGGUUUCCGUAUUUACUGUGGAGUGGAGUGUUAUUACAAACCAUGCUGGACAUUUUACAAGUUCUGUCAAAGUCCCUGGAAGUGGACCCUCAUGCCAAAGCCCCAGAUUUAGCCAUACCAAACACUCCUUACAUCUUAAGAGUAAGAGACAACAUGGUUGACAGAGAGAAUACCGUAAAGGAUUUUGCUGCUCGUAGCACAGGAAUUAUCCAAGAAGCCAUGAAAUGGGCCCCUAAUGCUACCCGAUCUCAUCUCAUUGAAUAUCUGCUGAAAAUGGAACACUCAUCUCAAGGGUUAUACUACCACAGUGGUCUUGCCCUUGCUACUGAGAGUGUGUUAAAUUAUGCUGGAUAUAAUAAAACUGCAGCCCCCUUAGGGACUGCCACCCUUGAUAGACGACCAAAUUGUGUUACGACUGACAGUUCCAAUUUCAUGGCUGCUUUAAGUUUGCGAAGUCGUUUCAGUGGAGAAGUUUCUGGUAUGAGAUAUGUUUGUAAUAAUGAUGAAGAACUAAUCAAAAAGUUGUGUGAUGGACUUGAUAAAGACUGUGAUAAUAAAAAGUCAGAAGAGAUCAAAGCAGGGAUGUUCAGAGUAUGUGCACUUCUUAUUUCAAUUAAAGUACUCAAGCGUCAAUUACUUCAUACCUUGUGUUGGGUUCCUGUUAAGGAUUUUACAGAAAGAACUAUGGAAGUUGCUGUUACGUGCUGGGAAUGGCUUCUUGCUGCUCGGCCUGAUUUUAGUAUUGAGUUCUUAUGUGAAAUGGCCAUGGCUUGGCAGAUGACAGUUGAUAAGAAACUUGGCAUCUUUGCUGAAGACAAACCUCGGCCUGAUCCUUUAGCUAAAACUGAGGAUCAAAUUCUUGAUCCAAAUCCUCCACAUGUAGCUGGUCAUCAGAUCUGGACGAAGUUUCUCGCUGAACGUGUUGAAAUUGCACGCUACUGCAGUGUUGAUCAAGUGGGCAUCCUGCUUUCCCUGCUUCAUAAAUCUCUCUCUAUUAGUGUAGGAAAACAGCCUGGAUUAAUUUCCCGACACCCAGCUGCCUUGGGGCCAAGAGUCAGGCUGUUAACAAUGGGUCUAUCUCUUCUACAAGGGGUACUUCUUCCUAACAAUUUAAGCCGCAGUGUACUUCGUGAGAGGGUCUAUGCUGCAACAUUAGACUACUUUUGUGGUCCUGUAAUCUGCCCAACUCAGCGUGGUUCUGAGUUAAGGGAAGACAUCAUCAGUUUGAUAAAGUUCUGGAAAUUGAUGCAUGCUGACAAGAAAUAUCUUAAGUCCAAUGUGUUACCAUUCUGCGCUGCUUCAGCUACAGAUCCUAGUAAUUUGAAUCCCGCUCAGCUGUCUAUGUCUGGCACAUUUUCAUCUGACCUGAAGUCAUCGCAAUCGUCCAGUGGAUGGAUGAACACCAUCAAUAGUGGGGUUUCAGUACAUUCCAAGAGAUCUACCACAUUGUCAGUUUCACCCACAUCCUUCCAGUCAGGCUAUGAUUUUUCUGAUGGUUCCAUGACCCGCGGCCCUGACAAUGAGUUUUUUGGCAGCGCUGGGACUCUGGGUUCUGGUACAAGAAAAUUUAAUACAGCUGGGGACCACUUUGUCAAGGACUACAUGAGGAAAAGAAAUCUGAUUCUGUCUUUAAUGGCAAAUGCUAUUGAUGCCUUUAUAACCUGGCACAAUCCACUUGAACUUAUGGAACAAAGGAUACCUGGUGAAGAGACCAUUACAACUUGGCGGAAUCAGAUAAUGACAGAGAAGCAUUACAGAGAAACUGCUCGACUUGCUUGGGAUAUUUCCCCAAUUCUUGGUGUCUAUUUACCCAACAGGUUCAAAAACUCUGAAGCCCUUGUAAAAGAGGUAACCCGCCUUGUACGACUUAACCCAAUGGUGGUAAAUCAAAUCCCAGAAGUUAUUAAUUACUUAGUGACAGUCCACAGUGUUGAAGCCGAUGCUCCUGAGUUGGUACAUGUCCUUACUUGGGCAGCUGUGUCUCCGGGGGUGGCACUGUCCUAUUUUUCCCGUCAGUUUCCACCACAUCCUUUGACGGCUCAGUUUGCAGUACGAUCUUUGCGUUCGUAUCCACCAGAUGCUCUUAUCUUCUACAUUCCACAACUGGUACAAGCACUGCGAUAUGAUAAGAUGGGUUAUGUUGUAGAAUUUAUUCUAUGGGCAUCAAAGUAUUCAUCGUUACUAGCUCAUCAGCUUCUGUGGAACAUGCAAACCAAUGUCUACCAGGAUGAAGAUGCAACCAUCAAAGAUGAUCAAAUUGGGGAUCUACUGGAGAGUUUGAUGAAAGACAUCACAAAGAACUUGUCUGGUGCUGCUCUCAAGUUUUAUCAAAGAGAAUUUAAAUUCUUUGGAAAGAUAACCAAUAUCUCAGGAGAAAUUCGGCCCUACCCCAAAGGCCCAGACAGAAAAGAAGCUUGCUUGAAGGCCUUAGCCAAAGUUCAACUUCCAAAAGGUGUGUACCUCCCUUCUAAUCCUGAAGCUGUCGUUGUAGGAAUAGAUUAUCAUUCUGGUACACCAAUGCAAAGUGCAGCAAAAGCACCAUUUUUAGCUCGAUUCUCUGUCAAAAAAUGUGGAGUAAAAGAACUAGAAAAUCUCGGCUUGGAAGAAUCCUAUGGUUCAGAAAAUGAUGGCAUCCCUCAGCAUUGGCAAGCUUGUAUUUUUAAAGUUGGUGAUGAUGUACGGCAGGAUAUGUUGGCGUUACAAGUGAUAACAAUGUUCAAGAAUAUAUUUGAAUUGGCUGGUCUUGAGCUCUAUUUGAAGCCAUACAGAGUUGUUGCGACUAAUCCUGGGUGUGGUGUCAUUGAGUGUGUUCCCAAUGCCAAAUCGAGAGACCAAAUUGGUCGACAGACUGACAUAGAUAUGUAUCAAUAUUUCAUAAAUAAAUACGGUGAUGAAGACACCACAGACUUCCAAGCUGCAAGGCGUAACUUCAUUGUGAGCAUGGCUGCUUACAGUGUAAUCAGCUACAUUUUACAAAUCAAAGACCGACACAAUGGAAACAUAAUGUUAGAUGGUGAUGGCCAUAUUGUUCAUAUUGAUUUUGGGUUUAUGUUUGAGAGUUCACCAGGAGGAAAUUUAGGCUGGGAACCAGACAUUAAACUAACAGAUGAAAUGGUGAUGAUAAUGGGUGGUAAAAUGGAAGCUCCACCAUUCCAGUGGUUCUUAGAGCUCUGUGUUCAAGGUUUCUUGGCCAUCAGACCUUAUCAAGAAGCUGUGGUAUCUCUUGUAUCACUGAUGCUUGACACUGGACUACCAUGUUUCCGUGGACAAACUAUCAAACUCCUGCGCAGCCGCUUUGCUCCCCAAGCCAAUGAACGAGAUGCAGCAAAUUUCAUACUGAAAAUCAUUCGUGACUGUUACCUAAAUUGGCGAGGCAAAACCUACGACAUGCUACAGUAUUAUCAAAAUAAGAUCCCUUACUGAACGACUCAGUCUGCAUUUUCUUGCACAUUCAUAUUCUCUGUACAUCUUUACACUGUAUCUGUGCAGUGUUUCUGUUGUGGACUGGAGGAAAAGCUACAAGUUAGACACGUUGGCCUGUCUGUUGGUCCUGAAACAUUACAACAACACAACACUGAUACCUUCAUGUCAUCGUGGUCUGUGAUAGUUAAAGCUGUUCUCUUGAUUGUUGUAGCAGCUUCUUUCAAACAAUCAACUAGUGUGUAAGAGACAUAUCACAAACUCACACAUACGCACGUGCAAAUGAUCACACACACACAUUACAUAUGAAACAUGCAUACAUUUCCACCACUAGUUUUAAACAUAAAAUAAAUUACCCUGAUAUACAGAAAUAAAAAAAAAAAUAUUGGAGACCUCCUCUUUUAAGAGUAGACGUAGUCAGCAGUUGAUACAUAUAUACAUAUAUGUAUGUAUGUAUGUAUAUAGUUUUUCAAGCUUUAUUAUUAGCUGGGCAGAUGAUAGCUGCUAAGUUGGUGAGAGAAAAGUUGCAGGUCUCCAACAAUCGGGAACUAUUAUUUUUUAUUUUUUUAAGCUGAAAUUGUUAUUUGAAUGAAAGUUGUUGCAUUGAGUGACCAAAUUUGAUCUGUUAGAAUUUGGUUACUGAAUAUAUUUCCUGGAUUAAAUCUUAUCCACAUGAUAGGAAAUCAACAUUAUUGUUUUGAAAUAUUUUCUAAUAUUUCUAAAUAUUUUCUCUGUUGGUGCGUGCAUUGUUCUUGUUAUGAUGCCAGUUGUUAUGAUACUCUAAUCAGAGAUUGGUGGUGGCAUCGUUGUACAACAGUUUCAAGGCCAGUAUGUAUAUUCCUGUUGUAUAUUUGUGAAUAGCUACACUACAUCAUCAUCAUUCAUUUCUUUUAGCGUCCACUUUUCCAUGCUAGCAUGGGUUGGACAGUUUAUUGAGGCAGAUUUUUCUGUGACCAGAUGCCUUUCCUGUCACCAACCAUCACCUGUUUCCAAGCAAGGUGAUAUAUUUGACCAGAUGAGUUCUCGCAGAAUAUUGGAAAUGAAUGACACUGCUUGUAUGACAGUGACCCUCAUUUACAACAAUACUGUGAUGUCAAGAGGAGACACACACACAUAGAUAUACAUGUAGUAUGUAUAUAUAUAUAUAUUAUAUAUAUAUAUAUAUAUAUAUAUAUAUACACACACACAUGCAUGUAUGUGUGUGUGUGUGUGUGUCUAUUCAGUGACUGGGAAUGUCAGUCAUCCUAUUAUGGGUCAAUGUUUUUCUUAUGGACAGAAGACUACAGUUGCAGGCCCUCACACAUCUAAACAAAUCCCUUGUCAAAUAAAACAAAUCAUUUUACAAUCAUGUAAAAGUUGGAAGCAAUUCUGACAUUUUAUCAGACACCUCAAACAAAAUACGGUGUGAAUUGAUAGGAGUGAUUUUGUUUGCUUCUUCAGAUUCAGUCCCAUUUCAGUCCCAUCUGAAAGUAGACUGGUGUGUCACCUGUGGAACUGCACUUAGAAUUAGGAGAGAAGAAAAGAGAAUGAGGCCUACAGUGACAAUAACUUCAGUUGCUAGUCUCAUUUUUCUAAAAAGAAUGCAAAUAAAAACUUUUUUUUUCCCCCAGAACAUCUUGACCAUAACUCCCACAAAAUUUAUUUACAAACAUUCCUGUUUAGCUGAAUUCUUUUUCUUUCAAUUUUGUCUUUUUUCUUUUAAUGAAUCUGAUUUUGACUGUUUUCUAGCGCAAUCUUUCAAACCAGAAACAUUUCACUGUUUUAAUGUUUGAGAAGAACUUUCUAUCAUUCACAUUACCAAUUACCUCUUUCGCUUUGGAGCAAAUUCCAAAUGGUUUCUUUUAUAUAUUUGUUUAUUGUUUAGAUACAAUUCUGUUUUUGUUUUUCACAAUAUUUCACUUGUUUUCAGAAAUAACUCCAUGACAUUUUAUUUUCUCCAUUUUGUCUCUCAGAAAUACCUGUCUAGUCUCUUGAUGGGACCAUGAUUUCCAGUUAUACAGAGAAACAAGAUUCAAAAUUAUUUAAUUUGAUUAAUUUAUUCGUCAUCAAUCAAUAUGUGGAGUAACUAAGUUUAUUCCAAAGUUGGUAUUCAUCAGAUACAUUUCUAGAAAGUCUUUCACAUUUUACUUCUCACUUGUUCUGGCAAGAAAUCUUUUGGGUUAAAUGUCUGUAUAUUACUUUCUCCUCAAUAAUAGUUACGUCUCUGAAAAAAUGAUUUUCACCAACUUUGUCUUACAGCUGUAUAGAGUGAAGACAGGUUGUGUGUUAUACUCGUAUCAGUCUCAAGUAAAAUUUUCAUCAAUAUUCUACUUGUAUAUUCGUCUUCCAAUUUUAACAAUUUCGAAACAUGUAAUUUAACAUGAUUUUUUUUUUUUAAAGAUAAAUCCAAUUUGUGUUGAAUAUUUGAUCUGUCUCCUUAGAAUUGUCACAUAUUUUUAGUGCUGUAACUUCAUGGUCUUUAUUUCAGAUCUUUCCCUUCUCUUAUUAUAAAGACUAAAUUUGAAAUUAAAUAUUUAUCUUACCUGUAUGAUUCCAAGGAAUUUAGACUUUAAGGCUAAAAUCUGGUAUGAUUAUUUUCCAGUCAGAAACUUGGUGAAUGUUUUCAUUUAAAACAAAAACAAUCAAGUCUUAUUACAUUUUUUUUUGUUAAUAUUUUCAUGUUAUUUGUGACUUUUCAAAAAUGAUUGCUUCACCUAUUAAUUUAGUCCUGCAGGUGAUACAGCUUUAAUUCUCCAGUAGAAUUUUAAAACUCAUUUUAUUAUUUAGUAGUUGAAAAUUUAUUCUUAUGACUGAUCUUGGGGUUAGCAAAAUGGUUGUCAAGUCCUUAUAAACACAGUACUUCUUGUAAUCCAUCUUUUUCCAUCUUAGACAUCAUAUAAUGAACUCAUUUCCUUUCAUUUGUUGAUUAUAUUUUUUAAGAAAAAUCAUUGACUAAUGAUUAGUUUAGAAUACCAUUUUGUUAAAUUUCCUGAAUCAGAUUCUAUGAAACAAUGUUGUUGAAUCACUAGAAACAGAACUGUUUGGUCACAAAGUGUCAAGUGUAAAGGAUGCUUAGUGUUUAAAGAGCAAAGUCUAUUCAAUAUGAUUUAUUCAUAAAACUGUUUUACUUUCUUCCUUUAAAUUUUCUCCCAUCUCAUAGUCAUUGACUUUAUUUUUGACAAAUUAAAAGAACUGAAAAUAAAGUAUGCAUUUCUUUAUGCAAUGACAUUUUAAUUGCAAACAUGACAGAAUAUAUUUCUAAAUAGAUGUACAUCAGGUGACAGAGAUAAGCUAUUUUAUUUUGUGCUGAUUUUAAACUGUGACAAAAGUCUGCUAUUAAUACUUGUCUUUUUCCGUCAUUCUUUGCACUCAGCAGUCUUUCUUCUGUAUGAAAUGAUCCAACAAUGAUCUCACUUCACUUUAUAUUAUUUUUUGCUUCUUUAAACCCUUUCGUUACCAACCCGGCUGAAACCACCUCUGGCUCUGUCGUACAAAUGUCUUGUUUUCAUAAGUUUUGCAUUAAAAUCUGCCCCCAAAGCUUAGCCACGAUUUAUGUUCCUAACACUAGCUGAAUGAUAACUAAGUUAUUUUACUAAAUUCUUUGUUAUAUUUAAAAUUAAUUGAAAGAAACACAGAGCAUCUCAAAAUAAAUACAGUAAUGAAAAUAAGUAAUAUAUUUUUAAUACAGAAUUAAUUUUCAGUGUCUAACUGGACAAGUAUCUUGGUAUACAUAUCUUAUUAUGUUGGCUUUGUUUAACUAACAUACCUGAACAGCAACAGGUCCUUGUUUACCAUUUUUAUACCAUUUUAACUACUUGCCUCUAAAACUGUAAUUAUGUAAAUUAGCUUAUUAAAAUUAACUCUCAAAGCUAACAUAAAUUAACAUCUUUGACAAACAUGGCUCUGUAGUUACGUUUGCUUCUUCCCAACCACGUAGUUUUGAGUUCAGUCCUGCUGGAGCACCUUGGGUAAGAGUAUCUUCUUCUAUAACUCUGAGCUGACCAAUUCCUUGUUAGUGGAUUUGGUUGAGAGAAACUGAAAGAAGCCCAGUGUGUGUGUGUGUGUGUGUGUGUGUCUUGACAUUGCAUGAGAUUUGUUAAUGCGUAUCGGUCAUAGAAGCAGUGUCAUUCAUUCCUGGUAUUCUGUGUGGAUAUGUCUGGCUGUGGGGAAAUAUUCCCUUGCUUGGAAACAAGUGAGGGUUGGUGACAGGGAGGGCAUCCACUUGUAGAAAAUCUGCUUCAUUAAACUCCUAAACACAGUCUGGUCAUGCUAGCAUGGAAACGACAACAAUAUAUACAUACGUACAUAUAAAAUCAUUAUCAUUUAACACACAAUUCUACAUUUUUGCAUGGGUCAUCGUGGAAUUCAUUGUGGCAAAUUUUUUUAUGGCCUUUCUUGUUGCUAUUGCUGACUUGUUUCCAAAUAAGGUAAUAUUUCCCCAUAGCCAGACAUUUUUUUUCAGAAAACUGGUAAUGAAUGGUACUGCUUGUAUGACAGUGACACUCAUUUACAACCACUAUGUGAUGUCAAGUCAAGGAGAUAUAAACACACAAAACAGGUUUCUUUCAGUUUCUGUCUUCCAAAUCCACUCGUAAGGUGUUCAUUAAUCUGUGGCUCUAGUAGAAGACACUUGCUCAAGGUACCACCUAGUGGGAUCGAACCUAAGACUACAUGGUUGGAAGCAAACUUCUUAGUCAUACAUCUAUGCUUGCACUUACGUCUUGUGUUUAAUGUUAAUGUCUCUUUUCUGUCUCUUCUAGUAGAGAAUUCAACCUCAAUUUGGUAAACCAUCAAAGUAAACAUUAAUUACUACUUAAUUAGUUCAGCACAUCGUUAUUGUUUGUUCUCAUUUGCUCUAAUGUAAGGUGAAUAAGGUCAAAGACGGAGAACUAGGCGUUAGUGUAAGCCUAAAGAUGGUAAGCCAUCAAAUUGAAAACCGUUCAAUAGGCUAAUUACUAAUUUCUUCCAAUCAGUCUGUGUCACCUUACCUCAAACACUUAUACAAAUUUCUGCUACUAAAACAUUAGUAACAAACCCUCAGUAAUGAAUGAAUUAAUGUACAUAAAUUAAUCAACUAAAAUAUGUCGAAUGAAAUGACCAAGUAAUUAGCCAUCACAUGAAGUUUCCAGUGUGUGUUGUUAGCAUCAUCUUUGUACAUUAGAAGACUUGAAAUGUUGUACAAUUGUCACUUUUAAAAUUUCACACAUGGAAAUUUAAUAAAAAUUAUUUAAAAUAUUUUAAAUACUAUUUUCUUCAUUCAGUUAGAAUUGUUUUCAUAUUUAACAAUUGCUCAACAAUGUUUAAUAAAGAUCUCAUCCUUUAUGAAUGACCAAUUCUGUAAAGAUUGUAAUAUAGGCCGUUGAAGUUACUCCACCCCCUACCCCAAUAUAUUACUGUUAAUUAGUGUAGUGAUUCCAAGGUGGUGAAAUGUAAUCUUAACCUUAAGAUUUGAACUCAGAACAAUAAGGUAACCAACUAGUUAUGUUACUUUCUUACCUGUUGCUUCAACCACUUGUGUUUUCACUAAUGUAAUAUUAAUUCACUUGUUCGGGACAUCUUAGAAACUUUUUUCUUAUAGAAAACUCAAAUUCUGUUCAACAUUUUGACAUUGGGACUGGAAGGAGAACCAUUCAUUAAAUAUUUGUAUUUCAUGAAGAUACUCAAUGGAAUGGUUAAAUCAGACAACCUUCUUAAAAAAACACAUUCUCUGGGAUAUUAAAAUAUCUAAAUCUUACAUUGAUGUGAACCCUAAUAAUUUUGAGUUUAUAGACUAUUUAAAUAUCACAAGUUUUAAGCAUAGCUACCUUGUAACAAUAAGUGCUAAAUGGGCAAGACAAUUGAUUAAUAUUUAACAGUAUAGAAGUAUCUUACUAAUUAAAUAUUUAAUUAGAAACUGGUUUCUUUAUUUCAUUAUUUCUGGUGUUGGACUGGUAGAAGCAGUAGAGUGUCAGACAAAAUGCUUAUAUUUGUGUCUGAAUCAUUUUUACAUUCUAAGUUCAAAUCAUGCCAGAGUUGACUUUACCUUUCAUCGUCCAGGGUUGAUAAAAUAAGUACCGGUGAAGGAGAGGAGUUACUUUUAUAAUUCUUCCUUACAAUUCAAGGUCUUAUCCAUCCAGUUACAUGAGAAACCAAUAUUUCUAUGGCUCUGUACAUCUGCACAUGCAAUGGAUUUGUAGAAUUAUUUUUAUUACUUUUCAAGGUUUCUCUGAUCUAUAAUCAUGAAGUGAAAUAUUUACAAAGAUAAAUUACCAAAUCAAAAUUAAUUUUCUGUCAUAUCCUAGUUGUGUGGCUUCUAUCGUAGGAUUGUUUAACUAAGGCCUGCUGGAAGUAAAUUCUAGGGUUUUAUACUAUUAUAAAAAUUUGCUUAAAGAUAGAAUACAUACGUAACUGCUAUAGACCUUUGAACAAUCUUUAUUUCAUUAUUUCUGGUGAGAUCAUUAAUUAUUUUAUGAUUACAACUGUUUUUUAAAAAUAAUUUACUACUAAGAUUUUCAAUAAGAAAUUAUAUUAGAUUUUAUAAAUCAUGAAUUUGAGACUGAAAACACCAACAGGCCCAUGGAUGAGACUCAAAUAACAUCUGUUUAUUGCUAAGUGAGUGUAUUAUUGAUUUCAAUAUAGAGACGCUCUUACAAUUUCGUCUUUCUCAAAUGAGCUGUUUAACCCUUUUGUUAGCAAACUUCUGCUGAAAUACAUUAUAAAUUAACAUGUUUUGAUGGUAGGUUUUUUUUUUAUUAUUUAGAUUACUUUAAAAACAGAAGUUUUUGUCAUAGGAUCAAAGGCAGGUUGGUACACAAAGUGGGAAAAAAAAAAAAAAAAAUGUAAUUUUUUUUCCUAUUAUUUCUAUGUCCCAAAGAUAAUUGAACAGUUAUUUACUUAGCCUAGCAAACUGAGAUAUAAUGAAAUGUAAAAUUCUUGUAGGUUUAUGUUCAACAUAGAAAGUGUUCCAUGAAUCAAAUUAUGAACUGAAUUGACCAAUAAUAAAAUUAUUUAUUCAAAUCCUAGAGAUGCAGUUUGAUUCCCACCAGCAGACCUGUAGCCUUUUUUUUUUCUUUGUCUCAAAUUGGUGCUUAUAAUAGUUUUUCUUUUUUUUUUUAUAUAUUUUUAAAGAUCUUCUCCAUCCUUCCUUCCACACUUCUGUUGUUUCAACAUUAUUUACAAGUGGUUGAUUUUCACCAUAAACUAAUCUUAGAAUAACUGAUUGCCUUCAGGAAUGUAAUGUUAGUUCUUCUGUCUCACUGACAACAUGAGAAAAUUAUUGCUUAUUGUUUUAAGGCAUCGUUAUCAAGACCUGACAAUUGUUGACAUGUUACAGAAUGUGAAAUAUCUUAAGGCCUACAUUUUGUGACUAAAUAAAAAAAAAAUUUAAAAAACGCUUGAAAAAAUUGAAAAACAAA